UUGUUAAAAAAAAUAUGGAGUAAAAUUAUAAAAAUAAGCAAAAGUUAGACUUUUUUUACGAUGUGCCCUCAAUAUUUUUAUAUUUUUACUUCAUUUUAUAAGCAUGUGCAAGCACGUGCAUACUUUUUAACUUGUUUUUGCAGACGAGUCAUCGCUAUUGGUUAUCCAUACCAGGAGUACGCUAUUCGCCAAACACCAAAUCAUAUGCACCCAAGACGAUGUUUGCACUCUGCAAUUCCUCCAUAGAGAGACGCAGUCAGCUGUUUCUUUCGAGAGCCCAAGUCCAAAGGGAAUCGAAACAGAAAAGGAAUACGCUCGCACAGCACCGAGUUCAAGGUCGCUGCUACUUCAACUCAGCAGCCGCCGUUCGCCGGAAACUCGACGAUGACUCCUCCGAUGAGGUGUCAUAAAACAAUGCAUAUCCAUAUAUGAGGAAUUCAAUUGAGACAAACCUGAUGGAACAAUAAAAAUUAUGGGAGUGACAACCACUGGUGAAAAACGAAUGUGCAAGAACUCCCAAAUCUUUAUGAUGCAAACACAAAAUCUGCCCCCACCAGGGCGUUUCUCCAUCACAUUCAGCUACCUGGUCCAGUUAUUCACUGACAGUUCCGAGGUCAUUUUGGGAAUGAUGGAAUUGGAAUGCUUGAGGGAAUUGUGAAGAGGUGAUGGGAGAUUAUGCAAUAAGGACGAUGGUUCUAUUACUCUGUAUCCUAUAAGUUAAUAGCUAGGGCCAAUCCAAUGCGCAAAAAGAAAACAUCAUCCAAGCGUGGCAUGAAGACAAUAGGGAAAACUCAGAAUAAGGAAAGCUAGCUUGAAGAAAAAGAGAGACAAUGGGAUUACGGCCAGAGAUUCAUGGUAGAGAUGACCUUGUAUUCACUUAGACAAAUGCAUUGCGCAGCUUUGCCCAUGCACUUGCCGUACAAGGUUCUGUUACAAAAGUAAUGUUCAAUGACUUUCAUUUUGUGGCGUUUGCCAUUUUUCCCCUUCAAUGCCCUUCAAGAUGUGUGAAAUUCUGCCUUCCAUCUGUAAAAGUUUGUUCUUUUCUAUGUUCAUAUUUUGAGAUUAUUAUUAAUUUUAUUUGGUUGCAUUAAAAAUAAAACUAGAAUAUGUUCAUA